rnacentral:rRNA from 2 species
GACGAACGCUGGCGGCGUGCCUAAUACAUGCAAGUCGAACGAACUCUGGUAUUGAUUGGUGCUUGCAUCAUGAUUUACAUUUGAGUGAGUGGCGAACUGGUGAGUAACACGUGGGAAACCUGCCCAGAAGCGGGGGAUAACACCUGGAAACAGAUGCUAAUACCGCAUAACAACUUGGACCGCAUGGUCCGAGUUUGAAAGAUGGCUUCGGCUAUCACUUUUGGAUGGUCCCGCGGCGUAUUAGCUAGAUGGUGAGGUAACGGCUCACCAUGGCAAUGAUACGUAGCCGACCUGAGAGGGUAAUCGGCCACAUUGGGACUGAGACACGGCCCAAACUCCUACGGGAGGCAGCAGUAGGGAAUCUUCCACAAUGGACGAAAGUCUGAUGGAGCAACGCCGCGUGAGUGAAGAAGGGUUUCGGCUCGUAAAACUCUGUUGUUAAAGAAGAACAUAUCUGAGAGUAACUGUUCAGGUAUUGACGGUAUUUAACCAGAAAGCCACGGCUAACUACGUGCCAGCAGCCGCGGUAAUACGUAGGUGGCAAGCGUUGUCCGGAUUUAUUGGGCGUAAAGCGAGCGCAGGCGGUUUUUUAAGUCUGAUGUGAAAGCCUUCGGCUCAACCGAAGAAGUGCAUCGGAAACUGGGAAACUUGAGUGCAGAAGAGGACAGUGGAACUCCAUGUGUAGCGGUGAAAUGCGUAGAUAUAUGGAAGAACACCAGUGGCGAAGGCGGCUGUCUGGUCUGUAACUGACGCUGAGGCUCGAAAGUAUGGGUAGCAAACAGGAUUAGAUACCCUGGUAGUCCAUACCGUAAACGAUGAAUGCUAAGUGUUGGAGGGUUUCCGCCCUUCAGUGCUGCAGCUAACGCAUUAAGCAUUCCGCCUGGGGAGUACGGCCGCAAGGCUGAAACUCAAAGGAAUUGACGGGGGCCCGCGCAAGCGGUGGAGCAUGUGGUUUAAUUCGAAGCUACGCGAAGAACCUUACCAGGUCUUGACAUACUAUGCAAAUCUAAGAGAUUAGACGUUCCCUUCGGGGACAUGGAUACAGGUGGUGCAUGGUUGUCGUCAGCUCGUGUCGUGAGAUGUUGGGUUAAGUCCCGCAACGAGCGCAACCCUUAUUAUCAGUUGCCAGCAUUAAGUUGGGCACUCUGGUGAGACUGCCGGUGACAAACCGGAGGAAGGUGGGGAUGACGUCAAAUCAUCAUGCCCCUUAUGACCUGGGCUACACACGUGGUACAAUGGAUGGUACAACGAGUUGCGAACUCGCGAGAGUAAGCUAAUCUCUUAAAGCCAUUCUCAGUUCGGAUUGUAGGCUGCAACUCGCCUACAUGAAGUCGGAAUCGCUAGUAAUCGCGGAUCAGCAUGCCGCGGUGAAUACGUUCCCGGGCCUUGUACACACCGCCCGUCACACCAUGAGAGUUUGUAACACCCAAAGUCGGUGGGGUAACCUUUUAGGAUCCAGCCGCCUAAGGUGGGACAGAUGAUUAGGGUG